CGGGAAAUAGUUCAGCCCGGUAGAAUGCCUGCUUUGGGAGCAGGAGGCCGCAGGUUCGAAUCCUGUUUUCCCGA
rnacentral:tRNA from 1 species